ensembl:lncRNA
CCCUGUUUGAAGGCAGAUACCACAUUCACACUUUCAAAGCAUUUUAAAAAAAUACAGUGCACAGAGUGAUCUCCUACAACAAUACAUAUAUUUGGUCUAGGCAGCAAGUGGCACAGCUCCGUGUCAUAAAGAACUGAAGUCAUAAGCACCAAGCUCCAAAGCUCCAGCCAAACCAACCAAAUGUGCCUAUGGACUGACAGAAUCCUUAAGUAAGACAGCCAGUAAAAGAGUGAAACAAAGCACCUGAUUCUCGGUCCUUUCUGAAAAUCCAGAGGCCUCCCUCUUGGCUCCACCACUGGCCUGUAAAGCCUGAGCUCUCAGUCUGAUGGAAGUCCUUGUUACUAGACAGCACAGAAUUUUGAUUGGAUUGAGUUUUAGGAAGCUGUUUUGGGAAGCUGGGAAAGAUACGGAUUCGGUGGGUGGACUGUUGAAUGGACAAAGAUCGGCUGCAGGACUGAGUCCAGAGAGCGGCAGUCAAUGGCUCCAUGUCUGGAUGGCAAUUGGUGAUGAGUGUUGUCCCACAGGGGUCCAUGCUGAGGCUGACACUCUUCAAUAUCUUCAUCAGCAACAUCAUCAGUGGGGUCGAGUGCACCCUCAGAAAAUUUGCUGAUGACACCAAGCUGUGGGCAGACACACCAGAGGGACGGGACACCAAACAGAGGGACCUGGACAGGCUCAAGCAGCAGGCACAGGUGCAGUGUCCUGUAUGUGGGACAAGAGAACCCCCCCACUACCAAUACAUGCUGGGGGAUGAAAAGACUGAGCAUAGGCCUGUCCCAAAAGACCUGGAGGUACUGCUGGAUGGCAAGCUGGACAUGAGCCAGCAGUGUGCCCUCCCAGCCCAGAAAACCAGCCAUAUCCUGGUCUGCAUCAAAAGAAGCGUGGUCAGCAGGUGAAGGAAGGUGAUCCUGCCCUUCUGCUCUGUGCUGAAGAGGCCCCACCUGGAGUACUGCAUCCAGAUGUAGAGUCCUCAGUGCAGAAGAGACAUGGACCUGUUGGAGCACAUCCAGAGGAUGGCCACAAAAAAGGUGAACUAAGGGAUUGAACACCUCUCCUACAAGGACAGGCAGAGAGAGCUGGGGCUGUUCGGCCUGCAGAAGUGAAGGCUCUGAGGUGACCUGGUAACAGCCUUUCAAUACCUAAAGAGGAGCUAAAGGAAAGAACAAGGGAACAUUUAGGUUAGACAUAAGGAAAAUAUCUUUUACAGUGAGGGUGGUGAGGCAGUGGAACAGGUUGCCCAGAGUUGUGGUGGAUGCCCUGUCCCCUUCAAGGUGAGGCUGGAUCAGGCCCUGGGCAAGCUGAUCUAGGUGUGGAUGUCCUUGUUCGCUGUGUGG